GGUUAAGUUAGAAAGGGCGCACGGUGGAUGCCUUGGCACUAGGAGCCGAUGAAGGACGGGACGAACACCGAUAUGCUUCGGGGAGCUGUAAGCAAGCUUUGAUCCGGAGAUUUCCGAAUGGGGAAACCCACCACUCGUAAUGGAGUGGUAUCCAUAUCUGAAUACAUAGGAUAUGAGAAGGCAGACCCGGGGAACUGAAACAUCUAAGUACCCGGAGGAAGAGAAAGCAAAUGCGAUUCCCUGAGUAGCGGCGAGCGAAACGGGACCAGCCCAAACCAAGAGGCUUGCCUCUUGGGGUUGUAGGACACUCUGUACGGAGUUACAAAGGAACGAGGUAGAUGAAGAGGUCUGGAAAGGCCCGCCAUAGGAGGUAACAGCCCUGUAGUCAAAACUUCGUUCUCUCCUGAGUGGAUCCUGAGUACGGCGGAACACGUGAAAUUCCGUCGGAAUCCGGGAGGACCAUCUCCCAAGGCUAAAUACUCCCUAGUGACCGAUAGUGAACCAGUACCGUGAGGGAAAGGUGAAAAGCACCCCGGAAGGGGAGUGAAAGAGAUCCUGAAACCGUGUGCCUACAAGUAGUCAGAGCCCGUUAACGGGUGAUGGCGUGCCUUUUGUAGAAUGAACCGGCGAGUUACGAUCCCGUGCAAGGUUAAGCAGAAGAUGCGGAGCCGCAGCGAAAGCGAGUCUGAAUAGGGCGAAUUGAGUACGUGGUCGUAGACCCGAAACCAGGUGAUCUACCCAUGUCCAGGGUGAAGUUCAGGUAACACUGAAUGGAGGCCCGAACCCACGCACGUUGAAAAGUGCGGGGAUGAGGUGUGGGUAGGGGUGAAAUGCCAAUCGAACCUGGAGAUAGCUGGUUCUCUCCGAAAUAGCUUUAGGGCUAGCCUCAAGGUAAGAGUCUCGGAGGUAGAGCACUGAUUGGACUAGGGGCCCCUACCGGGUUACCGAAUUCAGUCAAACUCCGAAUGCCGAUGACUUAUCCUUGGGAGUCAGACUGCGAGUGAUAAGAUCCGUAGUCGAAAGGGAAACAGCCCAGACCGCCAGCUAAGGUCCCAAAGUAUACGUUAAGUGGAAAAGGAUGUGGAGUUGCUUAGACAACCAGGAUGUUGGCUUAGAAGCAGCCACCAUUUAAAGAGUGCGUAAUAGCUCACUGGUCGAGUGACUCUGCGCCGAAAAUGUACCGGGGCUAAACGUAUCACCGAAGCUGCGGACUGUUCUUCGAACAGUGGUAGGAGAGCGUUCUAAGGGCUGUGAAGCAAGACCGGAAGGACUUGUGGAGCGCUUAGAAGUGAGAAUGCCGGUAUGAGUAGCGAAAGAGGGGUGAGAAUCCCCUCCACCGAAUGCCUAAGGUUUCCUGAGGAAGGCUCGUCCGCUCAGGGUUAGUCGGGACCUAAGCCGAGGCCGAAAGGCGUAGGCGAUGGA
rnacentral:rRNA from 1 species